rnacentral:rRNA from 1 species
UUAAGUGAACAAGGGCAUACGGCGGAUGCCUUGGCGCCAAGAGCCGAUGAAGGACGCGGUAAGCUGCGAAAAGGCAUGGGUAGGAGCAAGCAUCCUGUGAUCCAUGCAUAUCCGAAUGGGGCAACCCACCAUCAGUCAUGUGAUGGUACGAAAGAGGCAGACCUGGGGAACUGAAACAUCUAAGUACCCAGAGGAAAAGUAAUCAAUUGAGAUUCCCUAAGUAGCGGCGAGCGAAAGGGGAAGAGCCCAAACCAGAUAACUUCGGUUGUCUGGGGUUGAGGACCGGCAAAAAGAGGAAACUUCUUAGUCGAAUGGUUUGGAAAGGCCAUGCAUAGAAGGUAAAACACCUGUAGGCGAAAAGAAGUCAAUCGGGCUGGUAUCCAGAGUACUGCGAGACACGUGAAACCUUGCAGGAAGCAGGGGGGACCACCCUCCAAGGCAAAAUACUACUUGGCGACCGAUAGCGCAUAGUACCGUGAGGGAAAGGUGAAAAGAACCCCGGGAGGGGAGUGAAAUAGAACCUGAAACCGUAUGUCUACAAGCAGUCGAAGCACCUUAAGAGUGCGACGGCGUGCCUAUUGAAGAAUGAACCGGCGAGUUACAUUAUGUUGCGAGGUUAAGUGGGAGACACGGAGCCGAAGCGAAAGCGAGUCUUAAUAGGGCGACUAGUAACAUGGUGUAGACCCGAAACCGCAGUGAUCUAUCCAUGGUCAGGUUGAAGCGCAGGUAAAAAUGCGUGGAGGACCGAACCCGUGAGUGUUGAAAAACUUUGGGAUGAACCGUGGAUAGGGGUGAAAUGCCAAUCGAACGCGGAGAUAGCUGGUACUCCCCGAAAUAGCUUUAGGGCUAGCCUCAGGGAAGAUUAUAGACGGUAGAGCACUGAUCUGGCAAGGGGGCGUAGAGCCUACCGACCCUAGUCAAACUUCGAAUGGCUAUAAUUAAGACCCUGGGAGUCAGACUGCGAGUGAUAAGACCCGUAGUCAAGAGGGAAACAGCCCAGACCGCCGACUAAGGUCCCCAAUGCUGUACUAAGUGGAAAAGGAUGUAAGACUUCAUAAACAACCAGGAUGUUGGCUUAGAAGCAGCCACCAUUAAAAGAGUGCGUAAUAGCUCACUGGUCGAGAGGCCUUGCGCCGAAGAUGUCCGGGGCUCAAGUACAGAACCGAAGUCGCGGCAGGAUUAUAUAAUUCUGGGUAGGGGAGCGUUGUAUAUCCGACUGAAGGUGUACCGGAAGGAGCGCUGGAGGAUAUACAAGAGAGAAUGCCGGUAUGAGUAGCGAAAAGAACAGUGAGAAUCUGUUCCACCGAAAGCCUAAGGUUUCCUGAGCAACGCUCGUCGACUCAGGGUAAGUCGGGACCUAAGCCGAGGCAAAAAGCAUAGGCGAUGGACAACAGGUUAAUAUUCCUGUACCGCUUCAAAUCGUUUGAGCAAUGGAGUGACACAGAAGGUAGCUUGAGCACGCGAUUGGAUGUGCGUGUCGAAGGUGGUAGGUUGCAGUAUAGGCAAAUCCGUACUGUAUAAGACCGAGAACUGAUAGAUAGACGAUACUUCGGUAAAGUCAAAUUCAAGUGAGCCAUGCUGUCGAGAAAAGCUUCUAGUGAGAGAUGAGGCGCCCGUACCGAAACCGACACAGGUAGGCGGGGAGAGAAUCCUAAGGUGCGCGGGACAACCCUCGUUAAGGAACUCGGCAAAUUGUAUCCGUAACUUAGGGAUAAGGAUAGCCGGAGGAUGUGAAGGGAUUUACUUCUGGAGCGUCAGCCGGUGGCACAAGAGAGGCCCAAGCGACUGUUUAGCACAAACACAGGUGCCUGCAAAAGAGAAAUCUGACGUAUAGGUGCUGACACCUGCCCGGUGCUGGAAGGUUAAGAGGAGGGCUUAGAGGCAACUCGAAGGCUUGAAUUGAAGCCCCAGUAAACGGCGGCCGUAACUAUAACGGUCCUAAGGUAGCGAAAUUCCUUGUCGGGU